rnacentral:rRNA from 1 species
GACGAACGCUGGCGGCGUGCUUAACACAUGCAAGUCGAACGGGUCUGCCCUGUUUUUUGCGGGGUGGGUCAGUGGCGAACGGGUGAGUAACACGUGAGUAACCUGCCCCUCACUUCUGGAUAACCGCUUGAAAGGGUGGCUAAUACGGGGUGUUCUGGCUGUGCCGCAUGGUGUGGCUGGGAAAGAUUCACUUUUGUGGUGUUUUGGUGGGGGAUGGGCUCGCGGCCUAUCAGCUUGUUGGGGGGGUGAUGGCCUGCCAAGGCUUUGACGGGUAGCCGGCCGGAGGGGGUGGGCGGUCACACUGGGAAUGAGAGGCGGCCCAGACUCCGGCGGGAGGCAGCAGUGGGGGGUAUUGCACAAUGGGCGGAAGCCUGAUGCAGCGACGUCGCGUGAGGGAUGGAGGCCUUCGGGUUGUGAACCUCUUUCGCCGGUGAAGAAGGUCCUGCUCUUUGUGGUGGGGUUGACGGUAGCCGGGUUAUGAAGCGCCGGCUAACUACGUG